rnacentral:rRNA from 1 species
CCUACGGGAGGCUGCAGUGGGGAAUAUUGGACAAUGGGGGGAACCCUGAUCCAGCCAUGCCGCGUGUGUGAAGAAGGCCCUCGGGUUGUAAAGCACUUUCAGUGAGGAAGAACGCCUGGUGGUUAAUACCCAUCAGGAAAGACAACACUCACAGAAGAAGCACCGGCUAACUCCGUGCCAGCAGCCGCGGUAAUACGGAGGGUGCGAGCGUUAAUCGGAAUUACUGGGCGUAAAGCGCGCGUAGGUGGCUUGAUAAGCCGGUUGUGAAAGCCCCGGGCUCAACCUGGGAACGGCAUCCGGAACUGUCAAGCUAGAGUGCAGGAGAGGAAGGUAGAAUUCCCGGUUUAGCGGUGAAAUGCGUAGAGAUCGGGAGGAAUACCAGUGGCGAAGGCGGCCUUCUGGACUGACACUGACACUGAGGUGCGAAAGCGUGGGUAGCAAACAGGAUUAGAUACCCUAGUAGUC